rnacentral:misc_RNA from 1 species
GGAGGUCGCAGCGCCAUGAAGUCCCUGUCUCUGCUCCUCGCUGUGGCUUUGGGCCUGGCGACCGCCGUCUCAGCAGGACCCGCGGUGAUCGAGUGUUGGUUCGUGGAGGAUGCGAGCGGAAAGGGCCUGGCCAAGAGACCCGGUGCACUGCUGUUGCGCCAGGGACCGGGGGAACCGCCGCCCCGGCCGGACCUCGACCCUGAGCUCUAUCUCAGUGUACACGACCCCGCGGGCGCCCUCCAGGCUGCCUUCAGGCGGUAUCCCCGGGGCGCCCCCGCACCACACUGCGAGAUGAGCCGCUUCGUGCCUCUCCCCGCCUCUGCGAAAUGGGCCAGCGGCCUGACCCCCGCGCAGAACUGCCCGCGGGCCCUGGAUGGGGCUUGGCUGAUGGUCAGCAUAUCCAGCCCAGUCCUCAGCCUCUCCAGCCUCUUGCGACCACAGCCAGAGCCUCAGCAGGAGCCUGUUCUCAUCACCAUGGCAACAGUGGUACUGACUGUCCUCACCCACACCCCUGCCCCUCGAGUGAGACUGGGACAAGAUGCUCUGCUGGACUUGAGCUUUGCCUACAUGCCCCCCACCUCCGAGGCCGCCUCAUCUCUGGCUCCGGGUCCCCCUCCCUUUGGGCUAGAGUGGCGACGCCAGCACCUGGGUAAGGGACAUCUGCUCCUGGCUGCAACUCCUGGGCUGAAUGGCCAGAUGCCAGCAGCCCAAGAAGGGGCCGUGGCAUUUGCUGCUUGGGAUGAUGAUGAGCCAUGGGGCCCAUGGACCGGAAAUGGGACCUUCUGGCUGCCUACAGUUCAACCCUUUCAGGAGGGCACCUAUCUGGCCACCAUACACCUGCCAUACCUGCAAGGACAGGUCACCCUGGAGCUUGCUGUGUACAAACCCCCCAAAGUGUCCCUGAUGCCAGCAACCCUUGCACGGGCCGCCCCAGGGGAGGCACCCCCGGAAUUGCUCUGCCUUGUGUCCCACUCCAGGUCCCAGUCCUCUGUUCCCUUUGCCUGGUCCACCCUUGCCCUCCCUGGGUCGCAGACGAGGUCGGCCUCGUCAUUCCCCGCAGACCGCCGCGCGUCCCUCUUGUGCGGUUCACCACAGUUGUAUUUAAGUGAUCGUGUGAGUCGUCGUUAAAUGCCUGUCUCCCCGCGGAUCAUGGGCUCCUCGAGGACAGGGACUGGCCUGUCUGUCCACUGCUGUAACCCCGCGCCGGCAUAGGGACCUAAGGCCCACUGGAGGGCGCUCAUCAAGUAGCUGCUGGAUGUUGACGAAGGAAGCGGCGGCGCAGCUCAGGGAUCUCCGAGUCAGGACGGUCGGCCAGACCCACGGGGUAACGGGUCUAA